rnacentral:rRNA from 1 species
GAUGAACGCUGGCGGCGUGCCUAAUACAUGCAAGUCGAGCGAGCAGACGAGGAGCUUGCUCCUCUGACGUUAGCGGCGGACGGGUGAGUAACACGUGGAUAACCUACCUAUAAGACUGGGAUAACUUCGGGAAACCGGAGCUAAUACCGGAUAAUAUAUUGAACCGCAUGGUUCAAUAGUGAAAGACGGUUUUGCUGUCACUUAUAGAUGGAUCCGCGCCGCAUUAGCUAGUUGGUAAGGUAACGGCUUACCAAGGCAACGAUGCGUAGCCGACCUGAGAGGGUGAUCGGCCACACUGGAACUGAGACACGGUCCAGACUCCUACGGGAGGCAGCAGUAGGGAAUCUUCCGCAAUGGGCGAAAGCCUGACGGAGCAACGCCGCGUGAGUGAUGAAGGUCUUCGGAUCGUAAAACUCUGUUAUUAGGGAAGAACAAAUGUGUAAGUAACUAUGCACGUCUUGACGGUACCUAAUCAGAAAGCCACGGCUAACUACGUGC